CCCAACUUCUGUAUGCGUCGUGCGCCGCCGCCGCCGCCGAACUGCACAUACGUCUGAUCUGGAUCGACUUGAUCCUGACGUGCACCGGCACCCACCCGGCCGCCCCCAUGCAGCGGCGACUAGACACGGACAAGUAGCAAGUACCCCUUGCAAUCAGAGACACGUGGGCAUCAAAACUUUGAGAAGUAUGGAUCCAAUCAAUAACAUUCAAAUGCAUAUGAGCCCCGGGGGAUUUAGUACGCCCAAAAAGAACACAACCAUACCUCUCUUU